rnacentral:rRNA from 1 species
CCUGGCUCAGAUUGAACGCUGGCGGCAGGCCUAACACAUGCAAGUCGAGCGGUAACAGGAAAGUGCUUGUUUUGCUGACGAGCGGCGGACGGGUGAGUAAUGUCUGGGGAUCUGCCCGAGGGCGGGGGAUAACCACUAAAUUGCAUGGAAACGGUGGCUAAUACCGCAUAAUGUCGCGAGACCAAAGUGGGGGACCUGAAAGGGCCUCACGCCAUGGAUGAACCCAGAUGGGAUUAGCUAGUAGGUAGGGUAACGGCCUACCUAGGCGAACUUGCACUCUAGCUGGUCUGAGAGGAUGACCAGCCACACUGGGACUGAGACACGGCCCAGACUCCUACGGGAGGCAGCAGUGGGGAAUAUUGCACAAUGGGCGCAAGCCUGAUGCAGCCAUGCCGCGUGUAUGAAGAAGGCCUUCGGGUUGUAAAGUACUUUCAGCGGGGAGGAAGGAAUUGGCUUGAAGAGAGUUAAUUUUUGACGUUACCCGCAGAAGAAGCACCGCUGCAAUCGAACGUGCCAGCAGCCGCGGUAAUACGGAGGGUGCAAGCGUUAAUCGGAAUGACUGGGCGUAAAGCGCACGCAGGCGGUGAAUUAAGUUAGAUGUGAAAUCCCCGGGCUCAACCUGGGAAUGGCAUCUAAGACUGGUUGACUGGAGUCUCGUAGAGGGGGGUAGAAUUCCAUGUGUAGCGGUGAAAUGCGUAGAGAUGUGGAGG